UGCACACAUGACUGUUAGUUGCUUUGGAUAAAAGCGUCUGUUAAAUGGCAUUUA
rfam:Salmo salar isolate Sally breed double haploid chromosome ssa04, whole genome shotgun sequence.